UACUUCUGUGUUUUCGCCCUUCGUUCCAGGCCAGGGCCCCGCGUCCUAGUCACACCCGACAUCCUGGCUUUUUAUUUUUAAAUGGCAACCUAGUUAGGACCUCUUUAUACUGAAAGCAACACUUCUGACUUUUGUUUUGGAAAAACUUAACUCCAUAGGAACCCGAAAUUCAAAGCUGCGGAAAUAUUAGCCAAAUCGGGAGAAAACACACCCUUAGGAAAUGCGGAUUCGACCUUGACUUUUUUUUUUUUUUAAAUCAAUCUUCCUCUGUAUCGGAAUUUCCCUUUGUGGUGUGCUGGAGGCAGCGUCACCGAUCUCUUCAGGGGGAACCUUGCUCUGGUGGGCUAAUCCCCGGCCCACUCAGCUGCACCUGGGAGUCGAGGGUUCACGACAGCCCCGUGACGCAGACUCCCCCGUGCGACCCACACCCCCCGCGCCCCCCACCCCAUUCCCUCAGGCCGGAGACCACGAGGGGAGGAGCGAGUUUCCAAAAGCAACACCUCCGGCCAGUUUCUACUGCCUGUCUCCAGCAGGAAAAUGGCAAAUAGUGAAGUUUAGAAUUACACUAUAUAAAUUUACUAGAAUUAGGCAGAGACAAGCUGACAUUUGAAAAUUGAUGCUGAAAAUAGUUGAUUUUGGCAUUGUGGUUUCAUUUUUUUUCUUUUGAGACAAGAUGAAAAGUUUGAUGAUGUGGAACUUGGAAAUUUUUGUGAACUCUGUUAAAGAUCUUCCUCCUCUACUUUCUGGCCCAUCAAGAGAAGGAUCCUGUAGGAGGGACAUACAUGGCUCUGUCUGCUGAAACAAGGCCAGCAUGCAAGUGAGUGGAAAUAAUGAGGUACCUACCAUGUGCCACUGUUUUGAAAUCAGAUGCUCGUGUUAUAGCAGGCGCCAUUUUGGAAAAUGGAAACUGCAUUGUCACCAGAUGUGAAGGUGCUGAACACACAGAUGGGGUGGACUGGCUGGACAUACCGGACUCCCCUGACCUGGCUCAGUGAUCUCCACUUCAGGACUCCACUGCAUCUAUGCUUAGGAACUGUGAUAAACACUGCCCUUGGAUGUUUUCACUGGCUACUCCCACAUUUCCAUUGCAAUACCAGACUCUGGGCUCUAAAUCAGUUCCUUCUUUCAUCUCCCCUCUCAUCUCUUUACUCACCUGGUAACAGCAUCCUGCUUGUAAGGGAUCUUGGUUGGGCAGCUCCAGAAGGAGCCCUGUCUCCCCUUAAACUUUUUCAAAAGCACUCCGCCCAACACAACCAGCACAUUCUAAUUCAGGGAUCCAAAAAAACCACUGGGCCCUGUCUUAGGCCCAUGCCCUGACCCUGUCCCCCACCUCCUACCUCUGUUCCCAAACCACUUAGCAUGUCAGACCAUCUCCGUCUCUUUCCUGCUGAUUUCAAUCCAGUUACCUUAUUCUGUUCUGAUUCAUUUGUUCAUGGCUUCUUUCACCCCUGAGAUAUUUGUUAAUCUCCCACAAGGUACACAAUACGCUGCUAAGUUCCCUGAGAGUGGAGGGGGGAAAGUUAGCUCAUCUUUCCACAAGGAAUUUGUAGUCUAGACGUGACCCAGGCAUUUGGUCAUAGAAAAGUUGAUACUGCAUAUGAUUAAGUGACAAAUGUUUGGUACAAGUUGAUACAGGCAGUAGGUGCUGGGGAUGUCAAAGAGAGAAUUUCCUUUGAAGGGAGGGUGGGAUGGGUGUGUAAAGGAGCUGGCUUUGAAGCAAGGGUAAGAUAUGAGAGGCAGAGGAGGGUGAGUAGAUUCCACAAGGGAGGAGGAAGAUAUGGUCUAGGGACAGCCCAGAGGGAAUGGACCAGAUGUGGGCAGACGCCCCUCCUGCAAGAACCGACCAGUCAUUUGUUUUAGGAGUGCUUGAACAUCACCAGUAGCCCUUUUCCUUUUUUUUGCAGCAAGAUUUCUUUUUCUUUCUGUGGUGCUGGAGAUAGAACUCAGGGCUUCACAUUGGUUUUGCAAGUGCUGCACCACUGAGCCCCUCCCUCCCCAACACACAAGGCAAAACUCUCAAUGGGAGCCCAGAAACAGAGCCCUUCUGCCUUCUCAUACAUGUCAUGAGGUUCAGUGCAUAUCUCUGCUGCUUUUCUGCGGCUCUGAUGAGUUGUUUCAUUCUAUCACUUUAAUGGUGUGCCUGCACAAGUGUGCAUGUAUGUGUCUGCUUUGAAAAGCCUCUGCCUACUCCCUCACACACCUGGAAGCCUUUCAUUUACGUGUAUGUGAUGUCUUCAGACUUGAGCCUAAGUAGAUGGCAUGCUCUUUACUCUCCCUCCAUGCCAAAUUAAUAUCCAGAGUACAGUGUUGGUACUGAGUUGAUCUUUGGAGGAUUCCAUUGGUUUGAUUGAGAACAUGAUCUGUUAAUUUCUGCCUAACUUCUCUCUCUCAGUUUCUCUCUUUAGCUAUCAUUUAUCUAUCUGCUUCUUUCUGUCUCUGCCAUCACUAUUAUUUAUGUAUCAUCUCUCUCUCUAUAUAUAAUAUAUAUAAAUAUACCUGAAUUUUUAGGAAAAAUUGGAUAACUAGUACCUUUUAUUUGUUGACCAAGUAAUUUUAAAAUCAUUAAAUCCAACAGAGUUUCAGAACAAUUGCUAUUUAAAGUGUCCUGGGUUAUUUCCACACUCAAAAGAAAAAAGAAAAAAAGUUUUUUUUUUAAUUGGAAAAGUUUGAGUAUGGAGAAAAUAACUCUGUUUCCCUUUCUAUCUGGUCAAACAGCCAACACCUCUUUGGCCUUUUCCAGUUCUUCCAUAAAUCUUGGCUAAUAAGCCCUGGGUUCAAAUGAACAAGAAAUCUCAGUAGCUGAGGAAAAUCCACACAAACUGGAAUUUUGCUUACCUUGGGAAAAACCACUUAUAUGAAAGGAAGGACUAAAAGGAUGUUCUUAUUCUGAUUUUCCAGGUGUAAUAUGUGUUCUAUUUAAGCCACUAAUUUGUUAUUUGUAACAAAUAUGUUAUUAUGUUACGCUUUAUACGUUAUCUGUAACAUUGAGUUUGGUUCAUUCAAGUUUUUUUUGGUGUCCUAAGUUUUUCUCUGCAUAAUACACGUUUCCUUGCAAUCAACCCCAUUCCCAGCGAAAGCCAGCCUCCAAGUUCUCCGUCCGUUCUUCGUCUCUUUCCCUUUCCCUCCUCCCUGGGCCUAAUUAUGAAACAACUUCAAAUAAAUACAAAAAUUUUUAAACAAAAACCAUUCUGCU
rnacentral:lncRNA from 1 species